GGUAAGGUAGACAGAUGCUCUGGA
rnacentral:piRNA from 1 species